rnacentral:lncRNA from 1 species
UUGGAGUAGUGAGAUACAUAGGAGUCCAAUGCCACUAUCUAGUUGGAAUCUAUGCACUUGAAAGCUUAAAAAAAUAACAAAGCCCUGAAGGCCUAUCUUGUUCAAUUAUUUCAGGUCAUGUCCAACUCUUUGUGAUUAGCAUGGUUUACCAUUCCUUUUUCCAGCUCAUUUUAUAGAUGAAGAAACUGAGGCAAACAGAAUUAAGUGACUGGACCAGGAUCACCAAGGCUAGUUUCUGAAAGAAAGAUGGAAUAAGCACUCUGGGCAGGGCUGCUCACUGGGUGCUGAGGACAUCCUAGUGGAGGUGCCAAGUUGCAAUGAGGAUGGAUGGCAGCAUCUCUUUAUGCCUAAGGAGCCUUCUUCUCCAGGCCAUUUUGGUUGCCCAGCUGCCAAGAUGAAGGAUGCCACCUAGUAACUGGACUGAUGCAAAGAGUUUUCCUAAAGAUUCCUCUUCAUAUUUGUGGAUCCUUGAGAAUUCCUCCUAUCGUGUGUCUCAACAGAUUCCAAGGACUUUGACAUCGUGGUGUAAAAACAACAUCUUGGUCUCAUCAGGAAUGUUGUUUCCUAUGAAAAUUGUAGGUUUCUCUUUGAUUUAUGUGAUAUGA